AAACAAAACUAUAAUGAAGUCAUUUAUGCUCACUUCACAGACAGAGACCCAGAGGAAAAAAAACAUCAUUCUGGCAUCUGUGUGGAGACUGGACCAUGGAGAGUGAGAGGAGGAAACUGGGGGAUAAGGGAGGAAGACAUAGCUGAAGUCUUCAUAGCAGAAGAUGGUGGCUUAUAUUAAGGUAAAAGAAGUCGAAAUUGUGAGAAGGG
rnacentral:lncRNA from 10 species